rnacentral:rRNA from 1 species
UAAGCAUAUCAAUAAGCGGAGGAAAAGAAACUAACAAGGAUUCCCCUAGUAACUGCGAGUGAAGCGGGAAAAGCUCAAAUUUAAAAUCUGGUGGUCUUUGGCCAUCCGAGUUGUAAUUUAGAGAAGCGUCUUCCGCGCUGGACCGUGCACAAGUCUCCUGGAAUGGAGCGUCAUAGAGGGUGAGAAUCCCGUCUUUGGCACGGAAGCACCAGGGCUUCUGUGAUGCGCUCUCGAAGAGUCGAGUUGUUUGGGAAUGCAGCUCAAAAUGGGUGGUGAACUCCAUCUAAAGCUAAAUAUUGGCGAGAGACCGAUAGCGAACAAGUACCGUGAGGGAAAGAUGAAAAGCACUUUGGAAAGAGAGUGAAACAGUACGUGAAAUUGUUGAAAGGGAAACGCUUGAAGUCAGUCGCGUCGACCGAGACUCAGCCUUGCCUUGGCUUGGUGUACUUCUCGGCUGACGGGUCAGCAUCAAUUUUGCCCCUUGGAUAAUGGCGAGGGAAAUGUGACACCUUUAUGGUGUGUUAUAGUCUCUCGUCGCAUGUAAGGGUUGGGAUUGAGGAACUCAGCACGCGCCUUCGGGCGUCGGGGCUUUGCUGCCUACGAUACGUGCUUAGGAUGUUGGCGUAAUGGCUUUAAACGACCCGUCUUGAAACACGGACCAAGGAGUCUAACAUGCCUGCGAGUGUUCGGGUGGAAAACCCGUGCGCGCAAUGAAAGUGAAAGUUGGGACCUCUGUCGUGGAGGGCACCGACGCCCGGACCAGACCUUCUGUGACGGCUCUGCGGUGGAGCAUGUAUGUUAGGACCCGAAAGAUGGUGAACUAUGCCUGAAUAGGGUGAAGCCAGAGGAAACUCUGGUGGAGGCUCGUAGCGAUUCUGACGUGCAAAUCGAUCGUCAAAUUUGGGUAUAGGGGCGAAAGACUAAUCGAACCAUCUAGUAGCUGG